UGUCAGCCUCCACAGCUGGCUUACCGAAGAGGCUUGUCUAUCUUGCCGGGCGUGCGGAGGGGAUUUCCCACUCCAAGCGAAGGCCAUGAACGUUUCGCAAGGCGCCUCUGCGUCCUUUCGGAGCGCGAUUGUCCAACGGCGCAGCAUCAGUGCGACUCGCUC
rfam:Methylocella silvestris BL2, complete genome.